rnacentral:rRNA from 1 species
GACAGAGGUGCCAAGCGUUAGGCGGAAUCACUGGGCUUAAAGCGUGUGUAGGUGGAUUUGUAAGUACCUUGUGAAAUCCCAUGGCUCAACCAUGGAACUGCUCGGUAUACUGCGAAUCUUGAGCCACUUAGGGGCUACCGGAACAAAUGGUGGAGCGGUGAAAUGCGUAGAUAUCAUGUGGAACGCCAAUGGUGAAAACAGGUAGCUGGGAGUGUGCUGACACUGAGACACGAAAGCCAGGGGAGCGAACGGG